UAUUUCACAAAAGGGGGCCUUCUGAGCGCAACAAAGAACUAAGUCGCAACAAGUUUUGCAAUUCUAUAACAUUUUUGUAUAACUUUUUGUUAUGGCAUCAUUCGAGCAGGACAAAAAAAUGGAGGAACUCAAGCUUAUAUUGGAGAACCGCAAGCUCAGAUUGGAGGAAGACAAGUUUGAAUUUGAGAAAGAAAAAUUUAAGAAAGAAGAAAGAUUGGAAGAAAGAAGGUUGAAUCUUGAGCGAUACAAGAUACUUUUCGAAAAAUGUCAAUUCGAAAUAAAGAACAAUAAAGUGUUAUUUGACCUCAGGCAUUUUGAGGAUCAGUUAUAAUGGACAUAAGACUGGAUUCAAACUCUGUAUCUCCAUCAUAGAUUGCUCUCAAAUGUGUCUCUUGAUCUUCUAAUAAAAUGUGAAGUGGUCAAAUCGA